CGGACGGGUGAGUAACGCGUGGAUAACCUGCCUCACACCGGGGGAUAACAGUUAGAAAUGGCUGCUAAUACCGCAUAAGCGCACAGUACCGCAUGGUACGGUGUGAAAAACCCAGGUGGUGUGAGAUGGAUCCGCGUCUGAUUAGCCAGUUGGCGGGGUAACGGCCCACCAAAGCGACGAUCAGUAGCCGACCUGAGAGGGUGACCGGCCACAUUGGGACUGAGACACGGCCCAA
rnacentral:rRNA from 1 species